CUUGACCCGAAUUCGAAGCAUUUACAUUCGCCGGGGUAAUUAGCUGGUCAUUUACCUUUCCCUUAACAAAAAAACAUCCUCCCACCAGGAUCUGUCUUGGUGUCAAGCUCUGUGAAGGCAAUGCGUGAUAACAUCAGUAUGGCUACUCCCCUUGACCUCCCCUUGUUGUAGUUGCUAUAAUAUGUCUUGUAAAUAUAUUUAGAUCUGAGUCUAGGUUGAAAGUCUUCCUUAUAAUGGGUCUCUUGGAUAAACAUAAUAUUGGGUUUUUGCC